AGAGCGAACGCUGGCGGCAUGCUUAACACAUGCAAGUCGCACGGUCAGCAAUGGCAGUGGCGGACGGGUGAGUAACGCGUAGGUAUCUAUCCACGGGUGGGGGACAACGUCGGGAAACUGACGCUAAUACCGCAUGAUACCCGAGGGUCAAAGGCGCAAGUCGCCUGUGGAGGAGCCUGCGUACGAUUAGCUUGUUGGUGGGGUAAAGGCCUACCAAGGCGACGAUCGUUAGCUGGUCUGAGAGGAUGAUCAGCCACAUUGGGACUGAGACACGGCCCAAACUCCUACGGGAGGCAGCAGUGGGGAAUAUUGGACAAUGGGCGAAAGCCUGAUCCAGCAAUGCCGCGUGUGUGAAGAAGGUCUUCGGAUUGUAAAGCACUUUCGGCGGGGACGAUGAUGACGGUACCCGCAGAAGAGCCCCGGCUAACUUCGCGCCAGCAGCCGC
rnacentral:rRNA from 1 species